ensembl:lncRNA
CCCGCCCCUUCCGGCCUGACCCUGCCUCCUAAGCGCAGUCAGCGCGAAAACCCGUAAUCCGGUCGCCUCCUGGAAGCCCUGCACGGGGUCGCAGGAGGCUUUGGUGACGUUGGAGGCCUAAACCCUAACACCCACACAGCUAAAGCAGUGUUUCGACUGCAUGGAUCAAACUCCGGACCUUGGACUUUCGAGGCAGGUGGCGGAACCACGGAGCUACAUUCCCGGCCCAUUUUGUUCCUUCUUAUCUGGCAAGACCCAUGUGGCAGUCUGAAGUCUAGAAAAUCAUAAUGUAAUAAGGCAAACCCAGGGAGAAGCCAGAGAUGGAAGAUGCUUCUCAGCAUCGCGUAAUGCCCAGGACACCCCACCGCUGAGGACGACCCGGUCCAGGAUGUCAUUAGGGUUUGAAGGGAG